CGGGUGAGUAACGCGUAGGUAACCUACCUCAUAGCGGGGGAUAACUAUUGGAAACGAUAGCUAAUACCGCAUAAGAGAGACUAACGCAUGUUAGUAAUUUAAAAGGGGCAAUUGCUCCACUAUGAGAUGGACCUGCGUUGUAUUAGCUAGUUGGUGAGGUAAAGGCUCACCAAGGCGACGAUACAUAGCCGACCUGAGAGGGUGAUCGGCCACACUGGGACUGAGACACGGCCCAG
rnacentral:rRNA from 1 species